rnacentral:rRNA from 1 species
GACAGAGGGUGCAAACGUUGUUCGGAAUUACUGGGCGUAAAGCGCGUGUAGGCGGCUGCGCAAGUCGGAUGUGAAAUCCCAUGGCUCAACCAUGGAAGUGCACCCGAAACUGCGUAGCUAGAGUCUCGGAGAGGAAGGCGGAAUGCUUGGUGUAGAGGUGAAAUUCGUAGAUAUCAAGCGGAACACCGGUGGCGAAGGCGGCCAUCUGGACGAUGACUGACGCUGAGACGCGAAAGCGUGGGGAGCAAACAGG